GACGAAGGGGGCUAGCGUUGUUCGGAAUUACUGGGCGUAAAGCGCGUGUAGGCGGUUGUCCAAGUUGGAUGUGAAAGCCUUGAGCUUAACUCAAGAAAUGCAUUCAGGACUGGAUGACUAGAGGACCGGAGAGGAUAGUGGAAUUCCCAGUGUAGUGGUGAAAUGCGUAGAGAUCAGGAGGAACACCGGGGGCGAAGGCGGCCCGCUGGCGCGGCACUGGCGCUGAGGCGCGAAAGCGUGGGGAGCGAACGGG
rnacentral:rRNA from 1 species